GAAAACAAGACAGGAUUGCAUCUGCUGGUCAAGAUAACGCGGCUGUGUCUUGGUUUAUUCAUAGAUCAGCUGAAUUAUUAUUACGAAUGACAAAGCACAGGACCACUUGUAGGACGUGCUCUGAGAAAGGUGCUGAAGAGCAGAACCACUGGGAUCAUUCUCUGAGAUGACAGAUUCGAAGCUUGAGGACCUCCUGACCUAGCAAUCCCAGACAGAACAAGACCAAGUACAUGGAGGGUGAAGAUAUCUAACUGCAGAGCUACCUCUAUCAUGACCCAACGAUGGCCAGUUUCCCCUCUCAUCAGAAGCCUUCUCUGACAAGCAGCUCCCUGGUGGCUUUCCAAAAACAGCAGGCCCAGCAAAAGCCUUCACUGUGCACACAUCGCAAUUCUCAGAUGGUAUCUCUGGGACAAGCACAACCUACAGGCUCUUCAUGUUGAAGACAACAGAAAUCUGCACAAUGCCAGGAGCUCACUUUUUUAAUAUUAUUUUCUACUUGGUUUGCAGCUGAACAAACCUCCCUGAGUACAGAUAUUCUCUCUGAACAAUGGUCUCAAAUGCAUGGUUUCUGUUAUUCUGAAAUGUUGCCUUUUCACUUGAUUAAUUUGCACCUUCUGAGUGCUUGUUUUCAGUAGGACAAACAGAUUGUCAUUAACUGUAGAAAACUGCAUUCUAUCACACAAUACUGUUUAUCAGCCUACACAGCACCAAAGUCAACUGCAGUCAAGAAACCACAGUGUGGAUACAGUCUCAAUGCAGCUCCAGCUACAUCACAAUGCUGCUUAUUCAGCUGGCAAGAGAUGCAAAGGGAUUCUGCUCACUGAAUGACUCUUCCGGAUUUCUGCAGAGGAAACGUCAACACCCUGAAUGUCACAAAUGUGGGUCUGGGUGAGUUCAGGGUACCCUUCCAGUGGCAAUGUGGACAUAUUCCUUUAGUCAUAUUACUGCUAUAUUUGAUUCCAGAAACUUUGAUCAGAUACAGUGUGUCUAAUAGACACGGCAGGAAAGGGUAAGAUCUGCUCUCCUAAAUUCAGGAAGAGGGUUGUUUUGAUAAUUACUGUAUAGAUGUAGCACUUGAAAGAUCCUGGUUUCUCUUUCUUCUAUUAGUUUUCUUUCUUACAGAAUCAUAGAGUCAUUAGGAUGUAAAGACCACUAAGAUUGUCUAAUCCAACCAUCAACUCAUGCCUGUGACCACUUUAACCACGUCCCUCAGUGCCACAUCCACUUGAACACCUCCAGGGACGCUGACUCCACCACUUCCCUGAGCAGCCCAUUCCAGUGCCUCACCUCUAUUUCUGAGAAGAAAUUUUUCCUAAUAUUGAAAUUGAACGUCCCCUGGUGCAACUUAGCCAUUCCCUCUCAUUGUAUCACUAGUUACUUGUGAAAUGAGGCCAUCUCCCACCUUAUCACAACCUCCUUUUCAGGGAGUUGUAGAGAGCAAUAAUGUCUCUCCUGAGCCUCCUCUUCUCCAGACUGAACAGUCCUAGCUCCCUCAGUCGCUCCCCAUAAGACUUGUGCUCCAGACCCCUCACAGCAUCAUUGCCCUUCUCUGGACAUUCAGUGGCUGUGGUCAGUACAACUCCAUGUCCCACAAGGGAGCCAUUGUUUGUCUCAGUUCCUUAGGUCUCUGUCUCAUGCUCCAUUUUCUUCCUGGGCCGAUGCACCAGGGCAUUAGUGCUUUGGGAUUACAAUGUUUGGCUCUACACAGGGUCUAGGUGAGGUGCUUCAGGAACAGAAAUGCCACUUAUUAAUAAGCAGGUGAACAAGGAGCUAUAUGGCAGUGAAGUUCUUAAGUAUGUGUCUGGAGGCAGUGGCAGUGAAAGCACAUCUGUUCAUCUCGUCUCCACCAGAUGGUUAGUUUCAGUGCCUGAAGUUACUGUCAUUUAUUUCAUCAGUAAUUUUGUUCAGAGGAUGCUGAGGAAUGGACAAAUCCUGGAUACCAGAACAUGGUCUGACAUCUGAAAACUUUGCCAGGGACAUAAAUCUGUGGAAAUUGUUCCAACAGAAAGUUAAAGACACUGUCAGAGUUUUCUUCCUUUUGAUUAGUAGGAACAAAUUAAAUAUGAGAGAUAUGUCUUUUUGAUCAAUAUGUAAUUUUUAAUUACUCUUUAUUGUGUUGGUUUUUUUAUUAUUAUUAUUACUCUAUCUUGGAAAUAAGUUCUGGGAGAAGAAAGCAAAUCACUUCUUUUCACUAAAUAGUUUGAAAGCUGAUUGUUCCUCGAUUCGAAAAUAAACAAGUGAACAAAAAAAGAUAAACUUGGUAGGAAUUUGUUAAGUCUGAGCAAAGAGUAACUCAAAGUUUAAGUGUCUGAGCAGCUCCUGAAGCUCCGAGUUUCAGGGAGGCUUAUAACAGAGCAUGACUUUUUCCCUGGGGCCUUGGCCAGCCAUGACAGUAUCACUGAGCAGCAGAGAACAGGUAGCAUGGUCCCAGUCACUCAAAUGUCUGCUUGCUGAACUGUGGACACAGUGAACUGGGAAGAUUUGAUGCAUUUUUAGCUGGGACUCAGUAUUGCAAUGCCACAUAUCUGCAUGCAUCCUUGAAUCUUUAGACAGCCUGAAAUCACACUCGGUCUUACAAAGUUGCACCCUUUAAGGAGGAUGUCAUAAAAUCCCAGACUUCUAAGUUGAACAUCAGUUUUAUUCUCUGGCUUUCAGUUCAAAAUAUUUAAAUAAAAUCUUCCUUUCUCACAAGUUCAUCUAUCUGUCCCACUUCAUUUUCACUGCAGCAUACCUGGGUUUUGAAUGUGUCUGGAGAUUAGCCUGUAAGAAGGAGGCUGAAGUCAAACUUAGGAGCACUUGGGUGUAAUUCCGACUAAUUCUCUGUGAUAUGGAGAACAUCAUUUGUGACAGCCAGGUUCAUUACAAACUCUCAGCCUGAAGUCUUUGAUAGAUGUUUUGAGAAAGUUAUAGGAACAAAAGCAUCAUCAGGUGAAUAGAUUGAGUCCCUCGAGUUCAUGAUUUGGCUUCAAGCUAAGCUAAAAGUAUAUUUUUCUUUGAUCAAGCUCAAAACAUUAACAAGAAUACAAUGGUAUCAAUAAAAUUGUGUGAAAUUUUUGUUUUACUUAUUUGCAAGAAGUUUAGAGAGAGUCAAAUGUUCUUAUUUUAAUGUUUGUUUGUUUGAUGAGUAUGAACCCUGGACAGUGUGAGGGCGAAAGCAUCUCCCAAGUCUUUGGGGUUGCUUGCAGAAGAGCACUCUGCACGCUCCAGUUCAGCAGACUUUUAUAGCCUGUGAUUGAAUCCCACCAUUUAAUGAGAUUUAAAGCUGUUAAAAUGUCUUCUUGGGCAUUCUCUUGUUCCUUUGAGUCCUGCUGACACUUCUAAAAAUAGCAAAGCUGGCAUAGAUGCCAGUUAGUGAAUGGAAGCAGAUUUACUACACAAAAAAGAGAUAAGGGAAGAGUUGCAGGUGAGGAGCUGUUUUAUCAGUUCACUACCUACUAUUAGGCUGUAUUAGAGCUGUUCUGCUUAUACCUUGGCCCUAUCAUUCUGCCUUUAAAGAAUUAUCUAUCAAAGUCUAAAUUUAUCAAUCCUGGAUAAAGAGCUCCCAGCAAUCUGUCAUGGAGGAAAGUGACAGAGUAGUUUAAAGGUAUUCUCAGUGCAGAUCAUUCGCCUGCAGCUGACUUUUCUGCUUGAAAAGAGACUUAACUCUUUUAGACUAUCAGAACUUUGCUCCUUAGAAGCAUCACUCUUCACUAAAAGGGAAAGUGCCCACACCACGAGAUAUUUUUGUUCUUAGCAGGAAACUGCAAGAGUAUUAAUUUAAAUGCAUUAGUGAGAUGUUACAUAUUUGUGUGCAUCAAAGAGAAGCCUGCAUUCCUCCUCACUGCCUUAGCCAUAUUUUGGUGGUUCCAUCUGCAGCUCUGCUGGAGCAGCAGUGUGACUUGUUCCUGCUGAAGGCUGAAAGUUGGAAAGGAAGGAGAAUUGGGAAGCCAGAUCUGGAAUUCCCAGGUCUCGUCCCACCAGCUCAGAGCACAGAAAGGAGAAAUCCACUGGGUUCAUGGUUUCCAGCAUUUGCCCAUAAAUCACCUAGGUAUAAGGUGUAUUAACCACCAGAAGACAGACAGUCCUUUCUAAGUGCAAGAAUGACUUAGCCAAACCAAAAGGACUCAGUAUGGUGUUUUGAAGACCUCUGUAAUUCCCUGACAUGUUUCCAGCAAGAUGGGAAAAAGCAGAGCACUGCAAUUAGUUGGACAUUUUCAGUAUGGAUCUCAGAGUCUAGACUGGGAGUUAUUGUAUUUGAAAGCCCCUAGCUUGCUGAUCCAUGCCUUAAUUUCCCUACCUUCUAAUGGGAAAGAUAGACUUGUGGCAAUAAUUAGUGUCUGUAAAGCACUUCAGAAGCUUGUACAGUGUAUUCCCUAGAGUGACCUACCUACAAUCAAUGGGAUAUAAUGGCAUCAUACUAUCACAAUAAUUAAAUACUUCCAACUCUUCAGUUAACCAGUGUUUACAGUGCAACAAUGAGAUACAAGAAAUCUUAAUCUGGUUGACAGAGAACAAAUGUAAAGGAAAAAUAAGUAAAAUAUGCAGAACAUUUCUGUGAUGUACAAAAGUAAUCUCAUGUUCUUCUGUGCAAUUACAUUCAAAAGAGCUGUUCAGGAUGGUUCCCACAGCAUUCCAACUAGAAGCUCAGAGAAACACAUUCAUGCACUGCAGGUCCAGUGCUUGGAUCCUGGUAAUCAAAAUUGUCCAGAAUAUAACUAGAGAAGCUGUCCUUCUGUGGACUGCUUCAAGAGAUGGGGUGAGGUAUUGGAACAGGCUGCCCAGGGAGGCGGUAGAGUCAAUGUCCCUGGAGGUGCUCAAGAAAAGUGUAGAUGCGGCACUGAGGGACAUGGUUUAUUGAUAUGGUGGUGACGGGUUGAUUGUUGGACUUGGUCAUCUUAGUAGUCUUUUCAGCCUUAACGAUUCUAUGAUUCUAAGAUAUUUGUUCUCUGUUUCUAAAUAGAGACUUUCAGUAAUAUUUCUGGGAGAGAAGAAGAAAUGUUCUCUGAAGUAAGUGUCUUAAUAGACAAAGCCUUUGGCAAGGUGGAGCACCAUACAUCUCUUCACAAAUGAUUUUUAAUCUACACAACAGUUUUGAGAUUAUUUUUGCCUUUAUCACAUUUACAUUGCAUCAAAUACAGAGGUCUAUACUUGUGAGAUUAAGGAUAGAAAAUACAGGAAUUUUGUAAGCAAACUACCUCGGAAUACAUUUAAAAAAAAAAAAAAUCCCACAAGUUCUAGCAUUCUAUACCUGGAUAUCUGCAUUAACUUCUGCCUCCCCUUUUCUUCCUCCUUCAACCUGGAAGAGAAAAGAUAAGUCUGGAGAUGCUGACCUUGUAGUGUAGCUAUAUAUACUUACAUUUCUUUUACUGUAAAUAAAUACACACACAAGAUAGAACCAUAACCACAAAGACUGUCUCACCAAAACCUGAACUUCUGUUGACCUACCACUGUAUUUUGUGUACUUGAAAGAAAACAGAGGCUAAAAAGAUGGAUUUGAACAAGACAACGUGUUCUGUGCAUAGCAUGGUGCAAAGUGCAUCCACAAUGUGAUUACCAGGAACCAAAUGGGACUGUGCUAUUUCAAAGGGAUUCUGAGUCAUAUAAUGUAUCCUCUGGGGAAUUUACUGCAACACAACAACAGACAGGCCAUCUUGUGUUUGGAAAACAUACCCCAUUUGAUGCUUCUUCAGAGUAAUGCUGAAUAAUAGAAGAUAUUUUGUAUCAUCUUAAUUUUUUAUGAUGCAUACAGCACCACAGCACAGGUCAAAUAGAAACAUUCAGUCUUAAAACACCAUGGACAACUUCAGGAAGUCAGUGGGGAACUACUUUGCUUUGAGUUCUGAGCACAUUGCCAGAUCACGCUGCUUACAUCCUCAGUAUUUGCUCAGAAUCUUUCAAACGUGGCACUGGUACAGUUCUUAACCUUCAGAUGAAGAAAGCGGACUUUUCUGGCAGUUUGUGAAUGAAAAAUGCAAGGAACUUCUGCUGUCCAUUUGUCUUACUUUCUCUUAUUGCACCCAUAUAUUACCCUGCUCAUAAGUAGUCAGAGAAAUUGCAAUUCAAUUUCAAGUAACUAGAUAGAUCUUUACACUAGGCUUGAUCCAAAGUCCACCUAAUAUUUCCACUGUUCCUAGUGGACUUUUCUAUCAGAUGCCUGACAUGAGUUUCACUGAAACCCACAGUAAGCUCCAUGCUGUGGCAGUAGGAUCAAAGUUUAGAAGUGGCAAGGACUCCUGCACUUCUGACAGAUGCCCUUUUCCCAACGUUAUGCCCCUCAUGUCUGCAAAUCCAGUACUCCCACUGCUCAUCAAAUCUCUACUUUUGGUUCAGGUGGUUAGGCAAUUUUAUGUCAGUACCAUUACACAUUAGAAUGAUAGAAUCAUCGGAUAUCCUGAGUUCCCAGGGACCUAUAAGGAUCACUGGGUCCUCUCCUAGCCAAAAUCUGCUUUACAUGAAUGAACAAUAGCAGAGGAAUUCUUACUGGUGUGAGAGGAUACUAAGAGCAAAGGGAAAUAUGCAAAGAACUCCACUUUAACAACAUCUAUGUCUGUGCAAUACAUGUGAUUUGAGAAGCAUUAGCAUUUUGUUUUGUUUCAGUCUCAUAAUUAGAAGGAUUGUGCUUCAUUAUCCUACUGUAGCUCCUGCUGUGACAUGGUCCUGGUUAUCUUUCUGAAAGAAAUAUUUCAUAAACAGUAUCCAGUUAUGUUGGUUGAAUACAAAAGCUUUGGAAUUUUCAUUUCAAGUCAGAAAGGAAAAGAAAAAAAAAACAUUUAUUCUUAUGGAAUUAUUAUAUUCUUGUUUUAAUAAUAGGGAAGCAUUUCAGACAAGACAGUUCUUAUUCACAGAACUGAAUACUUGGAAUACUCAGGGAAAAUACGUCCUUAGUUGGCUUGGUUUUAGCAUUUCUUCUUGCAAGGUUGCUCUUAUUAGAACGGGGAAAAGAAAGAAAAAGAAAGUCCAUGUUAAUCAUCUGACGUAAAUGUGAUAGGAGAAGGGUCAUAGUCUUUUUUUUCCCUACAAAGUCCUUGAUUAUAUUGUUCUGCAUAGAAGGGCUAUUCUGAAAGCAGUAUCUCCUACUUCAUUAUGCUGGCCCGCAACAUCACAGGUGGAUGUUAGUGACAUGAAAGUAGAGGCUGAAUCUUCCCACCAAUAUUUCAUUAUGAAAUUGCUGUGUGGCAGCAGAGGAGCAGUCUGACAGAAUGGCAUCUGUCAUGGAAGUGCUUAUGAAGCAAAGAUAUGGCACUGAAUUCCUUCAUGAAGAAAAAAUGGCAUCUACUGACAUUCAUCGAUGCUUGCUGAAUGUUUAUGGAGUCCAAACAGUGGAAGUGAGCACAGUGAGGCAGUUUGUGGUCAAUUUCAGCAGCAGCAACAACGACAUAAAGACAAACCAUGUUCUGGAUGGCCAUGAAGAUAUUGACAAAUGUAGCAUGCAGGCUCUUGUUAAUAGCUGAUGAAAAUGCACAGCCAGUGGUGGUGACUGUUGAUAGAGCAAAUUCUCAACUACAAAACAAUAUCUUUCAAACAGUGUUAUUGUGCUCUUAUUAUCUCUUGUAGUUCCAUGGAAAUAAAUAGGAGGCAUUACUUUCAGGGAGACCUACCUUCUGCGUAAAAAAAGGUAGUUCUCAAUCUCAGAAGCCUCCCUGAUUGCCUAUAUGAGCUAUACCCAAAUAUUUCUGUCUUCUGGUUCUUUCUCCUCACCUUUCUCCUCACAUAGCAGUAUUCUGUCCUUCCUUUAAGGGAAGUUACAAAGUUGUGCCUCACAUAAACCACAUGUUAAUAGCUAAUCCGAUGAUGUUGCCAGUGAUACACAUAAUCUUAUGUUCCUGUGUGCAUAUGGCAACUACAGUAUUCAUUUGGAACAUUCUUACAUUCAGAAGGGAAAAGGUCUUUCCUAUAUUUAUGCUAAUUUGCAUAACAUACUCUACCCAGCAUUCAUCAUAUUCUGCUAAGCUCUGCCAAGGAAAAUGUAUUAAUAGCUGAACUGUUGCGACCCUUUAUUAAUAUCGACAUUGCAAGCUCUGUACCAGUUUUAAGACACACCGAGAAGACAGUAUUUUUGUUCUUAUUCCUUAGAUCUUUAUGAGUAAGUAAUCAGAGACAAUGAAAAAAUGCUCCAGGCGAAACAGCUUAGGCGUAAAGGCAAGCAAGGCAAGCAAUUGGAUCGUUCUGUCUUGCAGCUGUUGGAUCUAUGACUCUAUGCACCCUUUUAUUUAUUUAUUUAGUUAGUUAGUUAGUUUCUGGGGAUAAACUGAUACAUCCAUAGUUAGUACAUACCUCUACUCAUUAUCAUUGUUUUAAAAAAGAACACAACAAAUUACAUAGGGAAAAUGUAAAAAUAUAUGAAUAACGAUCAUAGCAUAAUAGAACGGUUUUCACUGGAAGGAACCUUCAAGACCAUGGAGUGGCCCUUCAUGAAGGACAGAAGGAAGUUUUCCUGUUUGUGGGAACAGCAGAAAGUUGUGGAGCUCUGCCUGGGGGUUGGGAGUGGGUGAUUAGCUUACAGAUCAGGAUCAGUGGCCGAGUUCACUGCCUCUAGUCCUUAUAAGAGACUUCAGUCACCCUGGUAUCAUCUGGAGGAGAAACACAGCAGGUCAUAAACAAUUCACUGCCAGACUCAAAGAUUUGCUAUAGGUGGCACAAAGUCUGGCCAGAGACCAGUCACCUCUGGUGUACCUCUGGGACUGAUACUGGGGCAAAUAUUCUUUAGUAUUAGCUUUACUGACCUAGGCGGUAGGAGAGCACAGACUCAGAAGGUUCUCAAGUAAUAUUAAACUGAGAGAAGUGGUGGGUUGUAAUGCUGUAAUGUCAUGGAAAGUAUAGCAGUAAUAGCAGGGUAGCAAAGUCUUUGGUUACAGCAAAUGAGAACAAGCCCAAAUGCAGCAGCCAUGGAUACAGAAAUGAAGGAAAUAAAGCUGCUUGCCUUUAGAAGGCCCCAGGAAGGCCAGGAUCUCCAGCAGUAUACCCUUGCCUCCACUGCCAGCUCUUAAAUGAGAUCUGGGAAGGGGUGUAUCCUGGUUUCAGCCCCUCUGGUCACUCAGGUACAUUGCAUGCACCUGAGCUCCCCCAGGUCAGCCCUGCCUUCCCAGGCGGUGCUCAAUCACUGUUUCAAGCCAUGACUUAGCAUUUUCACUACUUGGGUACACCAUACAAUUAUGCUGCCAUUCAAAAUGACAUCAACCCUAUGAAACAGAACAAACGGAAAUGGAAAGUCUUUCAUCUAGGAAGGGAAAAACACCAAGCACCAGCAUAUGCUAGAUGCCAACCAACUGGAAAACAGCUUUGUAGAGAAGGACUCGGUAGAUACCAAGGUAACCAUGUGUUUCAUGGUUUAUCACCAGUAUUCCACAUCAUAACACCAUGCAGUGCAGUGGGAGUCAACGAGUUAAUGCUGCAGUUCCAUACAUUGUCGAUAUUUCCGGACUCGGUCUCAGAAGAGAAUGAACUACAGCUCCCAGAAGACUUCAUUUUUCUGUUUUCAUUUUCCAUCCAGAGGAAAAGAUAAAACUGGCUGGGAGGCGUGUGGCUCCCCUCUUUGUUCCCUGGCCACUUCCUACAGCAUUAGACUAAGGACUUCAGUUUGGAAUCUCUCUUUCUCAUUUGAUACAUUAGCUUCGAUUUCAAUCAUAUUGUAUUAUAUUGUAUUAUCUCACAUUCCGCUACUGUAUUUAGUAAAGUAAGUUUUUUUUCCCUUUAGCCUGUUGUCACUGUUCUUUCUCAUCCAGGCCCAUCUCCCCACCUUUUCCCUUCCCCUCUCCAGUGCAUCGAUCCAUGGGGUCCCUUCAACCAGGCUGAACCAGGCCAAAUCUUGACACUGUGAUGCAGAAAUGGCAAAGAAGAUUAAAGAUCCAGGUUAAAGGAGGUGAUUCUUUCACUGACGCUGAAUCACAUUCACUUGCUGUGUACAGUGCUGGGCUUCCUGGCACAAGAGAGAUAUGGUCACGCUGGAGCAAGUCCAAUGAAGGGCCACCAAGAUAAUGAAGGAACUGGAGCAUUAGCCUUAUAAAGAGACACGGAGAGUUGGCAAUAUUCAGCCUGGAGCAGAAAAGGCUCAGAGGAAUCUUCCAUUUGUGUAAAUAUCUCACGGAGGUGGGAAAGACUCAGAUUCUUCUCAGUGGCGCGCAGUGAAGGGACAAGAGGAAAUAGGCGCAGAUUGAAAUACUGAAAAUUUCACUUAAAUUUAAAAUUAAUAAAUAGAUAGAUAAAUAAACUUUUGUACUGUGAACUUGAUAUGAAAUAUCAA
ensembl:lncRNA